CUUGAGCCAGAUCCUAAGAAGAGGUUGACUGCUCAGCAAGUUCUUGUAAUAUGAUGAGUGUUGUUGCAUCAUUCUAUAAGGCAAUUUUAGCAGUUACAACAGGGAUAUCUGUGCCCUUCAACAACUUGGCUAUUAUAUACAAGCAACAGAGACUAUGCUUUGCAUCGGAAGUGAAUGGCAUCGUUAUCCUUCUUCAUUUUUUAUGCCUUCGUACAUUAAGGAAGUUCAAUGGAUAAAUGAAGGAUUUAGGGGUCUUCUCCCAUAUCCUUUUAAUUCAAGUUUGGGAGGCAUGACAACUACCCCACCUUAUUUCAAUGACAAGAACAAGGGUUUAUGCCUUCGUACAUUAUAGCAUCAAAUGGUUCUCAUUUCAAACAUCCAUCAGAGUUCACAUUUACUGUGACAUUAAGUUCAAAAGAAAUUAUAGAAGAAUCUGUUGAAGAAAGUUUUGUUUAGGACUAUGCUGAUCUAUGUAAACCACAAGAGGGUCCUUGUCCAAUGUUGUUUGAUAUGCUAAGAAUCAAUAAGAACAAUGAAGUGAAGAACAUAGUUUGGAAUUUACAAAUGUUAUCAAAUGAGAUGGAGCUUUUCAGAGAGUUCAAUGAAGAAGAUAGGCCUCUUUUGUUACUUUAAGCUUAAGAUUUUUGCUUCAUAUUGUUUAUGCAUAUGGGAAUUGUUUGUUGCCAACUCGAGUUUGAUUUUUCUUUGCAGUAAAUUUGUGAAGAUAAUAUUAGCAAAACUCCUGGUUGCACAUAACAUAUUGAAUUCAGAUGGAUCUCUUAAAAGUUUAACAAAUCAUACUAAAGAGGUUUAAUCAUUCUAUGAUGACUUGAUGAAGUUGGAUCCAUCACAUAAAAGAUACUAUGAAGAUGAAAAAAGUAUUGUUCUAAUGGAUCAGGAAAGCAAAUUACAGGAAGCAAUUAUCCUCAAGCAAUUAUCCCAACCCAAAGUGAAAGGAUUGUACAACAAGAAAUGCAUGGUUUUUCUCCACGAAGCUCAAAUUUUAUUUUAAAAGGAAGCUUAUUGAAGCUAAAGCAGAUUCAACAUAUAAGGAAGUUCAAUGGAUAAAUGAAGGAUUUAGGGAGAACUUAUUGGUAACCAAGGACUUUGUGAAGAUAGCAAAUUUUGGCCUUGCUCGUGAAGUUCAUUCGAAGCCACCAUUCACAGAAUAGGUUUCAACACGCUGUUUACAAAUCUCAAGUACUCCAGAGUUGAAAUUGAUGAAAUGCAGUUCGAGUGGGCUGA